CCUACGGGAGGCAGCAGUGAGGAAUAUUGGUCAAUGGGCGUAAGCCUGAACCAGCCAAGCCGCGUGAGGGAUGAAGGAUCUAUGGAUGGUAAACUCCUUUUGUAGGGGAGAAAAAAGCCGGUAGUUGCCUGUUUAGCAUGUACCGAAUGCAUAAGGACCGGCGAAAUCCGUGCCAGCAGCCGCGGUAUAUCGGAGGGUCCGGGCGUUAUCCGGAUUUAUUGGGUUUAAAGGGUUCGUAGGCGGCUGUGUAAGGCUGAAGUGAAAGGCCGUGGCUCAACCCUGGGACUGCGGUUGAAACUGGGGAGCUAGAGUGCUGGAGAGGUAAGCGGAAUGCGUGGUGUAGCGGUGAAAUGCGUAGAUAUUACGAGGAACCCCAAUGGCGAAGGCAGCUUACUGGACAGUAACUGACGCUGAGGCUCGAAAGCGUGGGGAGCGAACAGGAUUAGAUACCCCAGUAGUC
rnacentral:rRNA from 1 species